rnacentral:rRNA from 1 species
CCUACGGGUGGCAGCAGUGAGGAAUAUUGGUCAAUGGGCUUACGCCUGAACCAGCCAAGUCGCGUGAGGGAAGACUGCCCUAUGGGUUGUAAACCUCUUUUGUCAGGGAGCAACGCCGGCUACGUGUCGCCGGACUGAGAGUACCUGAAGAAAAAGCCUCGGCUAACUCCGUGCCAGCAGCCGCGGUAAUACGGAGGAUGCGAGCGUUAUCCGGAUUUAUUGGGUUUAAAGGGUGCGUAGGCGGAAUGCCAAGUCAGCGGUAAAAUCCCGGGGCUCAACCUCGCUCCGCCGUUGAAACUGGUGGGAUUGAGUCCGCGGGAAGCAGGCGGAAUUCGUCGUGUAGCGGUGAAAUGCUUAGAUAUGACGAAGAACCCCGAUUGCGAAGGCAGCUUGCUGCAGCGGAACUGACGCUGAUGCUCGAAAGCGCGGGUAUCGAACAGGAUUAGAUACCCGAGUAGUC